GUUUUGCAUUGGCUUCAGAAGAAGGUGAUGAUGCGCGCCGUGGCGCGCCCAUUAAAGUCGAAUUGUUCGUCUCACUCUCAGUCUCUCUCCCUCUCCGACCACCACCAACUCCUCCACCGACCCAUUUCCGAACUCAACUCCCUCAUCACCUCCUACGUUCGCCGAGGUCAAUCCAUCAUCGCAUGGAACCUUUUCCGCUCUCUCCGUCGCUUACGUUCCGACAUCGAUGCUCACACAUUCACACCUCUCCUGCGUCCAUCUUCUCCAUCACUCGGUAAACAAUUCCACGCACAAAUGAUCAGAACCGGUGCAGAUUCCGGAACCAUUGCAAAAACCGCACUCCUUGAUAUGUAUUCAAGACACGGGUCAUUGGAUGAGUCACUUAAGGUGUUUGAUGAAAUGCUUCACAAGGAUGUUGUUGCUUGGAACGCUUUGCUUUCGUGUUUUUUGCGGUGCGGUCAUCCUCGUGAGGCGGUAGGUGUUUUGAGGGCGAUGGGGAGGGAAAAUGUUGAGCUUAGUGAGUUUACAUUGUGUUCUGUUUUGAAGUGUUGUGCUUCUUUGAAGGCUUUGGAACUUGGUAGGCAGGUUCAUGGUUUGGUGGUUUUGUUGGGGCGUGAUUUGGUUGUUUUGAGUACUGCUCUUAUUGAUUUUUAUUCUAGUGUUGGGUAUGUUGAUCAUGCUUUGAAUGUGUUUUAUGGUUUGAAGGGUUGGAAAGAUGAUAUGAUGCAUAAUUCGCUGGUUUCUGGGUGUAUUAGGAAUAGGAGAUAUGGUGAGGCUUUUAAAGUUAUGAGCUUGGUGAAUCUUAAUGCUGUUGCACUCACUAGUGUUUUGGUUUGUUGCUCCGAGGAGUUAGAUUCAUUGACAGGGAAACAGGUGCAUUGUGUUGCGGUUCGUCGGGGUUUUACUUUUGACACCCAAUUAUGCAAUGUCUUGUUAGACAUGUAUGCAAAAUGUGGAAAGAUUUCGCUUGCUCGGUCUGUGUUUGAUGGGAUUUUUCAGAAGGAUGUGAUUUCAUGGACUUGUAUGAUUGAUGCUUAUGGAAGAAAUGGGUGUGGACAUGAAGCUAUCGAGCUUUUUCGGAAGAUGAGGGAGGAGGGGAGUGAGGUGUUGCCAAAUUCUGUGACUUUUUUGUCAGUUCUAUCAGCUUGUGAUCACUCUGGAUUGGUGGAGGAAGGCAAACAAUGUUUCAAUUUGUUGAGAGAGAAAUAUGGUAUUGAACCGGAUCCGGAGCACUACGCGUGCUUCAUAGAUAUCUUAGGUCGAGCCGGUAAUAUAGAAGAUGUUUGGUCCACUUAUCACAAUAUGAUUGAAAUGGGUAGUAGACCUACUGCAGGAGUAUGGAUAGCAUUGUUGAAUGCUUGCAGUCUUAAUCAAGAUUUUGAAAGAGGUGAAUUUGCUGCAAAGCAUCUCUUGCAGUUGGAACCCGACAAAGCGAGCAAUAUUGUGCUUGUAUCAAACUUUUAUGCAGCCAUUGGUAGGUGGGAUUGUGUUGAUGAACUGAGAAGCAUCAUGAGGACAAAAGGGCUGGUCAAGGAAGCUGGGAAUAGCUGGAUUGGUGUUAAGGGCUUCAAUGAACAUGCUCAUUCUUUUGGAUCACCAGUUACUUCUUACUAGUUACUGUUUUGAAUGUUGAAGCAAGCUAGCCGAGAGGAUGAAUGAAGUUAUUAUGUGGGCCAUGGCCCAGUAGUACUUCACACCACCCCAAAAACGCUCAAAGCCAGAAGGUGCAACCUGGUUGGCCCAAUAUCCGUCAACUCAUAAAAAAGUUUAAAUGGAAUGCUAAGGAGUUUUCUGCCACCAUUGUACCAACUGCUUGAUUCAGCUACUUGUUAUUUGGCAUGGCCUCCUAUCCACAACCAUAAUGUCACUCCUAUUAGAGUAGUCUAAUGAGAGUGCUGUGCAGGAAAAUUUGCAAAAAUUGAGCUUAGGAUCAAAGAUAAGCUUUUGCAGGGUUGGUGGAAGCUCAGAAAAAGAUUAUCUUGCCUCUAUUACUUCAGUACUUAGUACUAGUUUUUCUACUCUUAUGCACUUUGAGUUCAAAGAAUCAAAAUUUACAGCUUCGAUGGCUUGACACCCAUAAUAAAUGUCUAGACACCUGAAAAUGAUUCUCUUGUGAGUCACGAGGCAAGAGAGUCCAGUGAAAUUUGGACCUUCGAGAAGUAAAAGGGGGAAACAUGAGUGUUUAUGGUGAAAUUUUAUUCCGAGCUAAUCCCGACCCGUAGGCCCUCAGACCUGGAAGUGAGUUUUCUCCUCUGUAUUUUGUGUAUCUACGCGCCCCAAAAUCAAUGCUUGGGCACCCAGAGAAUUCUUUAAAUGUCAUUUAGUGUGAAAAGUAGUUGCACAACACACUUGUUACAAUUAGCAAUUUUGCCGUUAUUUUUUCUGCUGUAUUCAGUUAGUAGUUGCCUUCAGUCAACCAUGAACCAUAGUUAUCCCUUUCAGUUACUCCAUGUAAUUCUGUUAGGCUAUUUCAGCUGAUAUAAAUAUCAGAAUGUGAGAUUUUGUAAUGCUCAGUUGAAAUAAUCCAAUUUAUCAAUCAAUUUUGGCGCUGCCAUAUCCAA